GAUCCUGGCUCAGAUUGAACGCUGGCGGCGUGCUUAACACAUGCAAGUCGCGCGUGAAAGGACUUCGGUCCGAGUAAAGCGGCGCACGGGUGAGUAACGCGUGGAUGAUCUACCCAUGAGUUAGGAAUAACGGCUGGAAACGGUCGCUAAUACCAAAUACGCUCCGAUUUCAACUUCGGGGGAAAGGUGGCCUCUGCUUGCAAGCUACUGCUCAUGGAUGAGUCCGCGUCCCAUUAGCUAGUUGGUGGGGUAACGGCCCACCAGGGCGACGAUGGGUAGCCGGUCUGAGAGGAUGACCGGCCACACUGGGACUGGAACACGGCCCAGACUCCUACGGGAGGCAGCAGUGGGGAAUAUUGCGCAAUGGGCGAAAGCCUGACGCAGCGACGCCGCGUGAGGGAAUGGAGGUCCUCGGAUCGUAAACCUCUGUCAGGAGGGAAGAACCGCCACGGUGCUAAUCAGCCGUGGUCUGACGGUACCUCCAAAGGAAGCACCGGCUAACUCCGUGCCAGCCGCCGC
rnacentral:rRNA from 1 species